UCUGCGGAAGAAAGUAAUAUAUAUUAAUAUAAGAAAAAGGAAAUACUAAUAGAAGAAAAAGGAAAACAGAGAUAAACAAACUGUAGAAAAAAGCAUUGCAGUAACGGUCCGUCUGAACGACUGAAGCAAGAACGUUGCCCGAGCUCUUUCUAAGUUUCAUCCCCUCCACCACAUUUCUUCGAGAAUGCAUAUGGAAUUAUUCAACCAACACUAGCGGGGGAUCAAAAAUGCAAGCGCCGAUAUACGACAGCUAUGUUAG